rnacentral:rRNA from 1 species
CGGCCGAUCAAGUCCGUCGGGAAAUCCACUCGCUCAACGUGUGGGCGUCCGGCGGAAACUGGUCGGCUUGGGGCCGGAAGACCCGAGGGGUACGUCCGGGGUAGGAGUGAAAUCCCGUAAUCCUGGACGGACCGCCGGUGGCGAAAGCGCCUCGGGAGGACGGACCCGACGGUGAGGGACGAAAGCUAGGGUCACGAACCGGAUUAGAUACCCGGGUAGUCCUAGCCGUAAACGAUGCCCGCUAGGUGUGGCACUGGCUACGAGCCGGUGCUGUGCCGUAGUGAAGACGUGAAGCGGGCCGCCUGGGAA